rnacentral:misc_RNA from 1 species
CAUGCCCAGAGCACUCAUCAGCCGUCCUCCGUACAGCAUCAUCACCUACUACACACAAACCAUAGAAAUUCAGCUUGAUCACUCGCGCCCUUUCUCCACACACCCCCACUGAGUUGUUGAAGAUGGAUCGAAGCGUGGCGGAGGCCAUCCGGCAGCAGUCCGACGAUCUGCGGGAUGAGCUCAAGGAGCUGGAGCAGUGGGAAGACGCCAUGCAGGCGCGGGAGAUGGCCAAGACACAGCGCAAGGUGCCUUGGCCAACCAGCGCAGCCGCAGCCGAGCCACCCAUUCGAGGAACGGUGCCGUCUCUGAAGGAGGCGAUACGGCAGCAGCAGCAACAGGCGCGGGCAGCUGGCGCCAGUGGCGAUGCCGCUGCUGAAGCUAUGGCAGACCCGAUUCAGCGAGCCAAAGACAAGGGCAACGCACUUUUCCAGAGCGGCCAUUUGCAGGAGGCGGUGGCGGCCUACACCGUCGGCAUCGACCUCGACCCAGCCAGCGCUACGACACACGUCCUGUACGCGAACCGGGCCAUGUGCUACCUCAAGCUGGGCCAGUGGACGGCUGCAGAGAAGGAUGCGACGACGUGCGUGCACAUGAACACCGGGUAUGCCAAGGCGUACUACCGACGCGCCGUGGCGCGCAAGCAGCUCGGCAAGCUGCGCGAGGCUCGCGCAGAUCUUGAGGCGGUGCUCGCCCUCGCUCCCAAGGACGUCAGCGCUCAGCAGGAGAUGGAAAGCGUGACGAAGGCGCUGCAGGCGAAGCGAGCCGCGGCGUCGCAGGCCACCACCACCACCGCUGCUACUACUAAGAAGAAGCGAAUCGUUAUCGAGGAGGUCGACAGCGAAGGCGAUGAAGCGGCGGCCGAGGCACCAGCGAUGUCGGCCUCCCAGUUGCCAACGGAGGAGGACCUGCAUCAGGCCUGCAUCGAGGAGGACAUGCGCAGGCUGGCGGCGGCGCGAAAGGCGAACGAGGAGCAGGUGCGACAGGAGUCACAGCGCGAGGCCGCUGCGCAGGCCAAGCGGCAGCGUCGCCAUGAGCGCGUGGAGAUUAUUGAGGAGGAGGAGCACUCCCCCACAGAGGAAAAGAAGACGGCACCCUCGCCUGCCACAUCUGCCCCCGCGGUGGAGCAGACGCCACCGCUGCCGACGUCAUCUCCUCCAGCCUCCUCGUCGCCCUCAUCCACAUCCGCCGCCACACGCCCACGCGCACGCCCUCCCAUCGCCAAGGAGAGCCUCACCACACCCAAGUCCUUUAGUGAAUUCGAGCGGCGCUUUCGCGAGCUGGUCCAGCAGCCGGAACUGCGCGACCAUUACGUGCGGCUGCUCGACCCCACCACCAUGGCGAAGCUCUUUGGCAGCAAUAUGUCGCCCGAGAUGCUUCUCGGCAUCCUGCAAGCCAUCAAGACCUUCAACGCCACGACUGCCCUGCAGUACGCCAAAGGGCUGUGCCAGGUGAGUCGCGUAGAGGACGUGGCUCUCUUUUUCGAUGCACAAGAGAAAGCAGUCGUGCAAGAUGUGCUGGACCUCCUACGCUCAGCCCCUGGCACUCCAGCCAAGGAUAUCCAACAGAUCGAACGCAAACUGAAGCCCUUGUAGGCAGCAGCAGCAAGGGGAGGGGCGAAUGUGUGUGUGUGUGUGUGUGGGCUCUCAUCAACACCAUCAAACGAGCUGAGCUAUUUCAUGUUACUUGGGGAGGGGACAACACACACGCAUAUAUACAUACAUGCACGCGCACAUGCACGCAUCGGCAGCUGGUGGCAGUAUGCAUGUACGCACGCGUGUGUGUGCGCGCGCAUCUGAGCUCCGCUUUUCACCUCGUGGUAUUCGUUUUCUCUUCCUCUUUUGUUUCUCUUCGGUGACGUCCACGUCGUGGAUACGUCUGCGUGUUUGUCGGCGGCUGCCUGUGCGUGUGCGCGUGCGUUUCGUUUGGGGUCACACUCCCGCUCGCAUUCGUCAUCGCCGUUCACUCCUCU